GCACUUUAUACAGACCUGCCAGUACAAUGCUGUUUGGGCUUCAGCAUCUUGUCUUCCUGUGUUUCUCAGUGACUUGUUUCCUUCCCUGCUUGUGCCGUGUGAGGGCAGCAGAGAUUGUGCUUGGCUAUGUGCUGGCAGCCCGAGUACAGCCGCCUCUUUCACGUUCCCACACUGAACAUCAGCAGGUGAACGGCAAAACGAGAGUGCACAGCACUGAGAUUUCAGCUGCACCUGACCCCGGAAUUUCACUCUGUUGGACGUGGUGGAACUCAGCAAUUAUUUUACAAGGAAGGAAACGUUGCCAUGCAGCAUCUCACCAGGCCAAACCGCAGCUGGAGCUCUUCCCUUGCACAUCAGAGCGGCUGCCGGGAGGUGGAGCACCGCACCCGCUGCACAUCGUCACCGAGCACCAACCGAGAGCUUCCAGAUCGUCCCCCGCUCCAGCCAGGCUGACCCUAAGCCUCCAUCCACACAAGGUCAGCUGCUUGCUGCCAGCAAAUUAAGCAGAAGGCGUUGCUGCUGGUGUUGCUCAUUACUACCAUUGGUGCAGGUGGGCUCUCUGUUUGCUGGCUGCAGACGUGGGCUGCGCUGCUCUAGCCAAAAGAUGCCUACAGCUUGUUGGAGAAGUGCAGAAGCUCUAGGGGCAAAGCACCCGGGCAUAAAGCCCGUACGUCUGGUGGCAGCACCAGCAAAGAUGGGCGGAUGUUUUAAACUGGUCGACGUCAAGCACUGUGAUUUGGUUUCCUUUGGAUCAUUCUGCCUUGAAAUGACUCUGAUCCAGGUGUUGUUUGCUUAUGGGAACACUGAAAAGCUGCACAUGUACAAGUUUUUCACUUGAAAAACAACGAAAAAAAAGCAACCUAGGAAAAUUCCCAUAAAGGUCUAAGCAAGCAGGCUGUGGCACUGCAAGCAAAACCCUGUGAUUUUAUGUCUUUCCACACCUGUGGUCCAUUUAAGCUAUAAAUCCCAUCUGUUGUGAGCAAGGUUUGCUAUCGAGCAUCCUGAUGAGAGAGGUGAGAUUUGACUGUAAGAACAACAUACAAUGAUUUUUAAUAUUUGGUGUAAUAAAGCCUUCUCCUGC
ensembl:lncRNA